rnacentral:rRNA from 1 species
UCCGUAGGUGAACCUGCGGAAGGAUCAUUAAAAAAAGAGAAACGUCCCGUCCUUUUUCAUAAGAAUGGGUUCUAUUCCCUUAAACCGUGUCUACAUACCUUUGUUGCUUUGGCAGGCCGCCUUCGGGCGUCGGCUCCGGCUGAUAGUGCCUGCCAGAGGACCCAAACUCUAUGUUUAGUGAUGUCUGAGUACUAUAUAAUAUUUAAAACUUUCAACAACGGAUCUCUUGGUUCUGGCAUCGAUGAAGAACGCAGCGAAAUGCGAUAAGUAAUGUGAAUUGCAGAAUUCAGUGAAUCAUCGAAUCUUUGAACGCACAUUGCGCCCCUUGGUAUUCCGAGGGGCAUGCCUGUUCGAGCGUCAUUAUAACCACUCAAGCCUGGCUUGGUAUUGGGGUUUUCGCGUGUUCGCGGCCCUUAAAAUCAGUGGCGGUGCCGUCUGGCUCUAAGCGUAGUAAUUUCUCUCGCUAUAGGGUUCCGGUGGUUACUUGCCAAAACCCCCCAUUUUUUCUAGGUUGACCUCGGAUCAGGUAGGG